GACGAACGCUGGCGGCGUGCCUAAUACAUGCAAGUCGAGCGAGCGGAACCGACAGAUUUACUUCGGUAAUGACGUUGGGAAAGCGAGCGGCGGAUGGGUGAGUAACACGUGGGUAACCUGCCCAAGAGACUGGGAUAACAUUUGGAAACAGAUGCUAAUACCGGAUAAGAAAGCAGAUCGCAUGAUCAGCUUAUAAAAGACGGAUUUCUGUCACUCUUGGAUGGACCUGCGGUGCAUUAGCUAGUUGGUAAGGUAACGGCUUACCAAGGCGACGAUGCAUAGCCGAGUUGAGAGACUGAUCGGCCACAUUGGGACUGAGACACGGCCCAAACUCCUACGGGAGGCAGCAGUAGGGAAUCUUCCACAAUGGACGCAAGUCUGAUGGAGCAACGCCGCGUGAGUGAAGAAGGUUUUCGGAUCGUAAAGCUCUGUUAUUGGUGAAGAAAGAUAGAGGUAGUAACUGGCCUUUAUUUGACGGUAAUCAACCAGAAAGUCACGGCUAACUACGUGCCAGCAGCCGCGGUAAUACGUAGGUGGCAAGCGUUGUCCGGAUUUAUUGGGCGUAAAGCGAGUGCAGGCGGUUCAAUAAGUCUAAUGUGAAAGCCUUCGGCUUAACCGGAGAAUUGCAUCGGAAACUGUUGAACUUGAGUGCAGAAGAGGGGAGUGGAACUCCAUGUGUAGCGGUGGAAUGCGUAGAUAUAUGGAAGAACACCAGUGGCGAAGGCGGCUCUCUGGUCUGUAACUGACGCUGAGGCUCGAAAGCAUGGGUAGCGAACAGG
rnacentral:rRNA from 1 species